rnacentral:rRNA from 1 species
AGAACGAACGUUGGCGGCGUGGAUUAGGCAUGCAAGUCGAACGAAUCCCGGUGGGGGUAACUCUGCCGGGGGAAGUGGCGAAAGGGGCAGUAAGGCGUGGCUAACCUACCUCGGGGACGGGCAUAGCCUUCCUAACGGAAGGGUAAUUCCCGGCGAUUUGGUUGAGAGGCAUCUCUCGACCAGGAAAUGAAUUUCGCCUCGGGAGGGGUCACGUGCUAUUAGCUAGUAGGUGGGGUAACGGCCCACCUAGGCGAAGAUGGCUAGCGGGUGUGAGAGCACGACCCGCGCCACUGGCACUGAGACACUGGCCAGACUCCUACGGGAGGCUGCAGUCGAGGAUCUUCGGCAAUGGGCGCAAGCCUGACCGAGCGACGCCGCGUGUGCGAUGAAGGCCUUCGGGUGUAAAGCACUGUCGAGGGGAGGAAAGCCGAAAGGUCUGACCUAUCCCGUGGAGGAAGCGACGGGCUAAGUUCGCGCCAGCAGCCGC